UACAGAGGGUGCGAGCGUUGUCCGGAAUCACUGGGCGUAAAGGGCGCGUAGGUGGCUAGGUAAGUGUGCGGUGAAAGCCCGGGGCUCAACCCCGGGUCGGCCGUGCAGACUGCCUGGCUCGAGCAUAGUAGAGGCAGGUGGAAUUCCGGGUGUAGCGGUGGAAUGCGUAGAGAUCCGGAAGAACACCGGUGGCGAAGGCGGCCUGCUGGGCUAUUGCUGACACUGAGGCGCGACAGCGUGGGGAGCAAACAGG
rnacentral:rRNA from 1 species